AGAGUUUGAUCCUGGCUCAGGAUGAACGCUGGCGGCGUGCUUAACACAUGCAAGUCGAACGAAGCACCUUAUUCUGAUUUCUUCGGAAUGAAAAAUUCGGUGACUGAGUGGCGGACGGGUGAGUAACGCGUGGGUAACCUGCCUCAUACAGGGGGAUAACAGUUAGAAAUGACUGCUAAUACCGCAUAAGACCACAGCACCGCAUGGUGCAGGGGUAAAAACUCCGGUGGUAUGAGAUGGACCCGCGUCUGAUUAGGUAGUUGGUGGGGUAACGGCCUACCAAGCCGACGAUCAGUAGCCGACCUGAGAGGGUGACCGGCCACAUUGGGACUGAGACACGGCCCAAACUCCUACGGGAGGCAGCAGUGGGGAAUAUUGCACAAUGGGGGAAACCCUGAUGCAGCGACGCCGCGUGAAGGAUGAAGUAUUUCGGUAUGUAAACUUCUAUCAGCAGGGAAGAAAAUGACGGUACCUGACUAAGAAGCCCCGGCUAACUACGUGCCAGCAGCCGCGGUAAUACGUAGGGGGCAAGCGUUAUCCGGAUUUACUGGGUGUAAAGGGAGCGUAGACGGCAUGGCAAGUCUGAAGUGAAAGCCCGGGGCUCAACCCCGGGACUGCUUUGGAAACUGUCAGGCUAGAGUGCUGGAGAGGUAAGUGGAAUUCCUAGUGUAGCGGUGAAAUGCGUAGAUAUUAGGAGGAACACCAGUGGCGAAGGCGGCUUACUGGACAGUGACUGACGUUGAGGCUCGAAAGCGUGGGGAGCAAACAGGAUUAGAUACCCUGGUAGUCCACGCCGUAAA
rnacentral:rRNA from 1 species